rnacentral:lncRNA from 1 species
ACAGAGCUGAAAACAUCAACCUCGUGGCAUUCCCAUCAACUCAUCAGCAUUUCUUAACUUGUUGAGUGUGGCUACAGCUCUUGAUGUGCCUUGCUGCCUCGCUUUAUUCGAGAUCAAGAGAUGCAUCAUUCUGGUGUCCCAGCACUGCUCUUUCCUGUUCUGCUCAAAGUCAAGUUUUGCAUGUACCCAGAGAAUAAGGAAGUCUUUCUGCUUGCAUCGGCUUUUUUCCUGACUGCUUGAGAUUUUAGACCCAUACACCUGGUGCUGUGGUGAUCACCUCACUUGAUGCAUGACACAGUUUGGUCUUCUAAGCAUUAUUUGGAAGCUCUCCAUCACUUGUGUAGCUGAUCAGUCAUUUGCCUGUUUAUUAAAAU